rnacentral:rRNA from 1 species
UGCCAGCAGCCGCGGUAAUACGUACUGGGCGAACGUUAUUCGGAAUCACUGGGCUUAAAGGGUGCGUAGGCGGCUUUCCAGGUCUGAUGUGAAAUCUUACGGCUCAACCGUAAAAUUGCGUUGGAAACCGGAAGGCUUGAGUGUGCUAGGGGUGUGUGGAACUUCCUGUGGAGCGGUGAAAUGUGUUGAUAUGGGAAGGAACGCCGGUGGCGAAAGCGACACACUGGGGCAUAACUGACGCUGAGGCACGAAAGCUAAGGUAGCGAACGGGAUUAGAUA